ensembl:snoRNA
AUCCUUGUGUAGUGCAUAAGUGUGACGACUGGGUUUUCCCACUCUUGUGAGGUGUGCCUCCUGCAAAUCUUAUGAUGUCUGCAUAUGACUUGUCUGACA